GACGAACGCUGGCGGCGUGCCUAAUACAUGCCAGUUGAGCGCUGAAGGUUGGUACUUGUACCAACUGGAUGAGCAGCGAACGGGUGAGUAACGCGUGGGGAAUCUGCCUUUGAGCGGGGGACAACAUUUGGAAACGAAUGCUAAUACCGCAUAAAAACUUUAAACACAAGUUUUAAGUUUGAAAGAUGCAAUUGCAUCACUCAAAGAUGAUCCCGCGUUGUAUUAGCUAGUUGGUGAGGUAAAGGCUCACCAAGGCGAUGAUACAUAGCCGACCUGAGAGGGUGAUCGGCCACAUUGGGACUGAGACACGGCCCAAACUCCUACGGGAGGCAGCAGUAGGGAAUCUUCGGCAAUGGACGAAAGUCCGACCGAGCAACGCCGCGUGAGUGAAGAAGGUUUUCGGAUCGUAAAACUCUGUUGGUAGAGAAGAACGUUGGUGAGAGUGGAAAGCUCAUCAAGUGACGGUAACUACCCAGAAAGGGACGGCUAACUACGUG
rnacentral:rRNA from 1 species